rnacentral:rRNA from 1 species
GACGAACGCUGGCGGCGUGCCUAAUACAUGCAAGUCGAACGCAGUGGGGACGGGUGAGUAACACGUGGGUAACCUCCCAUCAGAGGGGAUAAAACUUGGAUACAGGUGCUAACCAGAUAUUGAUGGAUGGACCCGCGGUGCAUUAGCUGGUUGGUGGGGUAACGGCUCACCAAGGCCACGAUGCAUAGCCGGUCUGAUAGGGUGAUCAGCCACACUGGGACUGAGACACGGUCCAGACUCCUACGGGAGGCAGCAGUGGGGAAUAUUCGACAAUGGGCGAAAGCCUGACCGAGCCACGCCGCGUGAGUGAAGAAGGUUUUCGGGUCGUAAAACACUGUUGUCAGAGAGGCGGUAUCUAACCAGAAAGCCACGGCUAACUCCGUGCCAGCAGCCGCGGUAAUAC